GAGUGAACGCUGGCGGUAGGCCUAACACAUGCAAGUCGAACGGCAGCACAGUAAGAGCUUGCUCUUACGGGUGGCGAGUGGCGGACGGGUGAGGAAUACAUCGGAAUCUACUUUUUCGUGGGGGAUAACGUAGGGAAACUUACGCUAAUACCGCAUACGACCUACGGGUGAAAGCAGGGGAUCUUCGGACCUUGCGCGAUUGAAUGAGCCGAUGUCGGAUUAGCUAGUUGGCGGGGUAAAGGCCCACCAAGGCGACGAUCCGUAGCUGGUCUGAGAGGAUGAUCAGCCACACUGGAACUGAGACACGGUCCAGACUCCUACGGGAGGCAGCAGUGGGGAAUAUUGGACAAAGGGCGCAAGCCUGAUCCAGCCAUACCGCGUGGGUGAAGAAGGCCUUCGGGUUGUAAAGCCCUUUUGUUGGGAAAGAAAAGCGGCAGGUUAAUACCCCGCUGUUCUGACGGUACCCAAAGAAUAAGCACCGGCUAACUUCGUG
rnacentral:rRNA from 1 species